rnacentral:misc_RNA from 1 species
UUAAGUUCAGCGGGUAUCCCUACCUGAUCCGAGGUCAACCUGAGAAGUUUGGGGGUUCUGGCGGGUGGACGUCUAGAGCCCUAUAGCGAGGAGAAUUACUACGCUUAGAGCCAGACGGCACCGCCACUGGUUUUAAGAGCCGCUGGUAUAGCAGGCCCCAAGGCCAAGCAGAGCUUGAUUGGUCAUAAUGACGCUCGGAC